rnacentral:rRNA from 1 species
UACAGAGGGUGCAAGCGUUGUUCGGAAUUAUUGGGCGUAAAGGGAGUGUAGGCGGUUGUCUAAGUCUUCUGUGAAAUCUACGGGCUUAGCCUGUAAAGUGCAGAGGAAACUGGGCGACUAGAGUGUCGGAGAGGAUAGGGGAAUACCCAGUGUAGAGGUGAAAUUCGUAGAGAUUGGGUGGAACACCAGUGGCGAAGGCGCCUGUCUGGCUGACAACUGACGCUGAGGAGCGAAAGCGUGGGGAGCGAACAGG